GUAGGUGGCAAGCGUUGUCCGGAAUUAUUGGGGCGUAAAGCGCGCGCAGGCGGUCCUUUAAGUCUGAUGUGAAAGCCCACGGGCUCAACCGUGGAGGGUCAUUGGAAACUGGGGGACUUGAGUGCAGAAGAGAAGAGUGGAAUUCCACGUGUAGCGGUGAAAUGCGUAGAGAUGUGGAGGAACACCAGUGGCGAAGGCGACUCUUUGGUCUGUAACUGACGCUGAGGCGCGAAAGCGUGGGGAGCAAACAGGAUUAGAUACCCUGGUAGUCCACGCCGUAAACGAUGAGUGCUAAGUGUUAGAGGGUUUCCGCCCUUUAGUGCUGCAGCAAACGCAUUAAGCACUCCGCCUGGGGAGUACGGCCGCAAGGCUG
rnacentral:rRNA from 1 species